GAUGAACGCUGGCGGCGUGCCUAAUACAUGCAAGUCGAACGGAAAGGCCAUGCUUUUGGCGCGUUCCCGAUGAGCGAAGAGGGGAGUAACACGAGGGGAACAACCCCCUGACAGUCUGGGAACAUCAGGAGAAAACGGAUAAUACCGCCGAGGAGAUCUUGCUGCCGGGUGGGAGUUAGUUAGAUUCGGCUUUGGGGUCUCGUAUAGAUGGAUCCGCGCUGCAUUAGUUAGUUGGUGGGGUAAAGGCCUACCAAGGCAACGAUGCGUAGCCGAGUUGAGAGACUGAUCGGCCACAUUGGAACUGAGCCGCGGACAAUACUCCUACGGGAGGCCGCAGUAGGGAAUCUUCCGCAGUGGGCGAAAGCCUGACGGAGCGACGCCGCGUGUGUGAUGAAGGCUUUCGGGUCGUAAAGCCCUGUUGUGGGGGAAGAACAGCUUUCGCAGGAAAUGAAGCGUGAGUGACGGUACCGGAUCAGAAAGCAACGGCUAACUACGUG
rnacentral:rRNA from 1 species